GGGCGCUUAGUGGAGUGGUUACCACGUUGGUCUUCGACGCACCUCUUAUGAGGUUGAUUCGUCAACCAAAGUUCGUCGGUUCGAUCCCGGCAGUGCUCA